rnacentral:rRNA from 1 species
GACGAACGCUGGCGGCGUGCUUAACACAUGCAAGUCGAACGGAAAGGCCCUGCUUUUGUGGGGUGCUCGAGUGGCGAACGGGUGAGUAACACGUGAGUAACCUGCCCUUGACUUUGGGAUAACUUCAGGAAACUGGGGCUAAUACCGGAUAGGAGCUCCUGCUGCAUGGUGGGGGUUGGAAAGUGUCGGCGGUUGGGGAUGGACUCGCGGCUUAUCAGCUUGUUGGUGGGGUAGUGGCUUACCAAGGCUUUGACGGGUAGCCGGCCUGAGAGGGUGACCGGCCACAUUGGGACUGAGAUACGGCCCAGACUCCUACGGGAGGCAGCAGUGGGGAACAUUGCACAAUGGGCGGAAGCCUGAUGCAGCAACGCCGCGUGCGGGAUGACGGCUUUCGGGUUGUAAACCGCUUUCGCCUGUGACGAAGCGUGAGUGACGGUAAUGGGUAAAGAAGCACCGGCUAACUACGUG